rnacentral:rRNA from 1 species
AACGAACGCUGGCGGCAGGCUUAACACAUGCAAGUCGAACGGUGAUGGGUGGAGCUUGCUCUGCCCUGAUCAGUGGCGAACGGGUGAGUAACACGUGAGUAACCUGCCCCAGACUCUGGAAUAACCCCGGGAAACCGGUGCUAAUACCGGAUAUGACACAGAAUCGCAUGGUUUCUGUGUGGAAAGUUUUUCGGUUUGGGAUGGACUCGCGGCCUAUCAGCUUGUUGGUGAGGUAAUGGCUCACCAAGGCGACGACGGGUAGCCGGCCUGAGAGGGCGACCGGCCACACUGGGACUGAGACACGGCCCAGACUCCUACGGGAGGCAGCAGUGGGGAAUAUUGCACAAUGGGCGCAAGCCUGAUGCAGCGACGCCGCGUGAGGGAUGAAGGCCUUCGGGUUGUAAACCUCUUUCAGCUCUGAAGAAGCGAAAGUGACGGUAGGAGCAGAAGAAGCACCGGCUAACUUCGUGCCAGCCGCCGCCGUAAGAC